UACGGGGGGGGCAAGCGUUGUCCGGAAUUAUUGGGCGUAAAGAGCGUGUAGGCGGUCCGGUAAGUCGGCUGUGAAAGUCCAGGGCUCAACCCUGGGAUGCCGGUCGAUACUGCCGGACUAGAGUUCGGAAGAGGCGAGUGGAAUUCCCGGUGUAGUGGUGAUAUGCGUAGAUAUCGGGAGGAACACCUGUGGCGAAGGCGGCUUUCUGGG
rnacentral:rRNA from 1 species